GGAAACAUCUGUGCUGUGUCUGCUCUGUAAGUAGAAUCUCUGUGUUUGUUUGAAUUCUUGUACUUUGACUGUCUGCUCUCCUGAUAACUGAUGAUGGAGGAGAAGACAUGAAAAACAAAUCAGGCUGAAUUCAAGUUCAAACACCACGAGGACCAACUGCAGGUCUGAACUGACUCUUUAUCUUUGCUCAGGAGUCGAGGAAACACAGCAGGCAGUGAAAAGAUCAAAUCAUUCACUCAUUAUAUCAACACAGCUGCACAGUGGACACAUGACUUUACUGUGUAAAGUAGUGAAAAGUAGUGUUUUAUAUAUGCUUAGAACAUUCAAUGCACACUAUCAAAACAAUAACUUUAAGUGUUGUUUUUUAGAAUAUAAUCUUAGAGUCAACAUAAUUAGUCCGACCUGUGUCACCUGAAUCAAAUUCACCAACAAAACUUUUUGUUCUAUUCAAUUAUUAACAAAAACAAUAUAUAAAGAUCUGUAAAUUAUAUUCUAAAAUGGCACAACAGCACAUUUGCUGAAAAAGUGGUGAGAACUUAUUUUUUAAAUCAUAUCUAAUAGUACACACGUCACAGUGGUGCAGUGGUUCGAGUCAGUUGUGAUGUUUGGUUAACUGCUGAUUUUAGGUCUGAAUGUGACACAAAUCUUUCUAAACAAUUGGCCCAAAUUUAGAGACAAAGUGCCAGGACAUGUGUUAUUUGAAUUGGUUCCAGAGUUCAUUCUGUUUGAACUAGUCAAGAUAGAUUCUACGUUUAGUUUUUUUGAGACCCCUAGACCCAGAAGAGUGUAUUAUCUGUGUUUGUCAGCUGUUUGUGUGCAGUUGUUCUUUAUCUUCAGCUCAAAUCAACCUGAGUGUCAUUUCUCUUUAGUUCUGAUCUCACUGCUGAGCUGCACAACAAACCAAGCUCGUCUGACUGUGAGUCCCAGCAGCUCUCAGUUCUUUGAAAGAGAUUUUGUGUCUCUGAGCUGUGAGGAGGACGACAGCUCUGCUGGAUGGACUCUGAGGAGAAACACAGCAACAGACAACAGAGCUGAGUGUGAGGAAUGGGGAACACCAGCUGGUUCUUCCUGUAACAUCAGUCACAUCUACUCAUUAGAAAGUGGAGUUUACUGGUGUGAGUCCAGAGAGGGUCCCAUCAGUAACAUGGUUAACCUGACAGUCACUGGUGGAUCAGUGAUCCUGCAGAGUCCUGUCCUCCCUGUGAUGGAGGGAGAUGACGUCACUCUG